rnacentral:rRNA from 1 species
UACGUAGGGGGCGAGCGUUAUCCGGAUUUAUUGGGCAUAAAGCGCGCGCAGGCUGCUUUUUAAGUCAGAUGUUAAAUUUCCCGGCUCAACUGGGAACCGCAUUUGAUACUGAAUUGCUAGAGGUCAGGAGAGGAAAGUGGAACUCAUGGUGUAGCGGUGAAAUGCGUAGAUAUCAUGAGGAACACCAGUGGCGAAGGCGGCUUUCUGGCCUGAUUCUGACGCUGAGGCGCGAAAGCGUGGGGAGCAAACGGG